rnacentral:lncRNA from 1 species
AUGUUCAAGGUAAUUCGGAGGUCCGUGAGGCCAACCAGCCUACGCUUGUUCACCUUCAAAGUCUAUGCAGCACCAAAAAAGGACUCACCUCCUCAAAAUCCCAUGAAGGUUGAUGAGCUUUCACUGUACUCAGUUCCCGAGGGUCAAUCGAAGUGUGUGGAAGAGUCAAGGAGCCAGCUUGAAGUAGGCAUCUCACAGUUCCGACGCUAUUGUGAGCCACAUAGAAAUUUGUGUCAGGAAACGUACUCCCAAACUAAGCCUAAGAUGCAAAGUUUGGUUCAGUGGGGAUUAGACAGCUAUGAGUAUCUCUAAAAUGCACCUCCUGGAUUUUUUCCAAGACUUGGUGUUAUUGGUUUUGCUGGCCUUAAUGGACUCUUUUUGGCUAGAGGUUCAAAAAUAAAGAAGCUAGUGUGUCCACCUGGUUUCAUGGGAUUAGCUGCCUCCACCUGUUAUCCACAACAAGCCAUCGUGUUUGCCAAGGUCAGUGGGGAGAGAUUAUAUGACUGGGGUUUACACGGAUAUAUAGUAAUAGAAGAUUUGUGGAAGGAGAACUUUUAAAAGCCAGGAAAUGUGAAGAAUUCACCUGGAACUAAGUAG